UAUCUCACACUUGUGACGUCUCAAAUCCUCCACUGUUGUUUCAUUUUUUUUUAAAUUUAAUUAUUUUUAUUUUUUUUAUAUCGAAGAAAACGUACACUCACAAUGUUGAACCCUGGAAUUUAUACACAUACAUAAUCUUGACAACGUCGCAUGAUUCCAAUGGCGACUCAUACUGCGAUUCAUAUUUCCAUUUGAUAAGAACUUGCGCUUAUAGCAGCCCCUUCCUCUUUAGCUAGUUCUCGCUCACAUCUCCUCAGUCGACCACGCUUUUGUAUUCUCUUAAAUAAAAUAUGUAAUUCGUACUCCAAAAAAUGACUACUCCGAAAUAAUACCCAAAACACCUAUCCUCAUUAGGUUAUGGGCCCAGGAUUACGCGGAACGCGACGCGGUAUUGUCGUCCUGUGGAUUAACAUGUUUUGUGGUUCCUGUGGAAUAAUGUGACUCGAUGCUCGGAAAAGGGCAGAAACUGUAAACUACUUUCAUCAUGUCGUGCACCAAAUAAUAUAAACUGAAACCCCCUUCUGUGUGUCUAAAAUUUUAAAAAAAAAAAUUUGUGUUAAAAACAACUUUUAAAACCAACUUGUGAAGGAAUGAAAUAAAAAUAAAAAUUAAAACCCAAUGUGUGAAAAAUAAAAUUAAAAUUAAAAUUAAAAAUUUGUGAAGACAUGAAGUGACAGUACUUAAUUCUGAACUUUGUGAAACUAGAAGUUCAGACAAAUUAAAAUAACUUUGAAUUUUAUAAAAUCCGGAACCUUUUGAACUUUUGAAAGAUAAGAAAAAUUAAAAUCAUUCUGAACUUUGUGAAAUCUGAAAGACUAAAGUAAAAAUUAAAAAUGGAUAACAUCAAGCGCGAUGAACUUAGAGACAUUGAAAAACUGAAAGAUACCAGCAAUUUUCAAUUUUGGAAAUUCCAAGUUACAAUUGUUCUGAAGCUGGAAAUGCGUACGAGAUAAUGACGGGACAAAGUGUGAAACCUGCAGCGGAUGGGGAAGAUGGAAAGAAGGACCAAAAACAACUCAAGGAAUGGCAGAAAGGAGACGCUCUUGCACAAAAAGUGAUCGUCCAAACGGUGGAGAGAAGUGUGAUGAUUCAUCUCAUGAACUGUGACAGCGCAAAAGCAAUGUGGGAUGUACUUUUGAAACUUUACGAACGAGAUGACACCGAACAAUUUCAGAAAUAAUUCUAUUUACUUUGCUUUUCCUUAUUUCUUUUUUUUUCAGCGUAUUUUUCAAACACUCUAUGAAAUCUUAACAUAAUUCUGUGUUUUCUUUUCUGUGUCUACAUAACACUAUUAAAAAUUUAUUUACUUGUAAUAAUAUUAAGUUUCUUUUUGUAACGAUGAGGAGUAGAGUUCUUCCGUAAGAAGGACACAUAGGUUUUGAUGUAUCCCCCAUAUUAUAAUAAGCGUUUUUUUUAAUUAGGAAAUGUCAAGAUUAAGGGGGAGUGUUGAACCCUGGAAUUUAUACACAUACAUAAUCUUGACAACGUCGCAUGAUUCCAAUGGCGACUCAUACUGCGAUUCAUAUUUCCAUUUGAUAAGAACUUGCGCUUAUAGCAGCCCCUUCCUCUUUAGCUAGUUCUCGCUCACAUCUCCUCAGUCGACCACGCUUUUGUAUUCUCUUAAAUAAAAUAUGUAAUUCGUACUCCAAAAAAUGACUACUCCGAAAUAAUACCCAAAACACCUAUCCUCAUUACACAAAAAAAUCUCCGGCCCUGGAAGCAGUA
rnacentral:lncRNA from 1 species